CCUACGGGACGCAGCAGUAGGGAAUCUUCCACAAUGGACGAAAGUCUGAUGGAGCAACGCCGCGUGAGUGAAGAAGGGUUUCGGCUCGUAAAGCUCUGUUGGUAGUGAAGAAAGAUAGAGGUAGUAACUGGCCUUUAUUUUACGGUAAUUACUUAGAAAGUCACGGCUAACUACGUGCCAGCAGCCGCGGUAAUACGUAGGUGGCAAGCGUUGUCCGGGUUUAUUGGGCGUAAAGCGAGUGCAGACGGUUCAAUAAGUCUGAUGUGAAAGCCUUCGGCUCAACCGGAGAAU
rnacentral:rRNA from 1 species